rnacentral:misc_RNA from 1 species
AAGUUUCAAAUUGUCAAUUUCUUUUAUUUAGGAUGUAGAUUCACAUGGAGAGAGAAUUGAGAUCAUUUUGAGAAAGCUAGAUUUGAAGCACAUCUAAUUGGCAUGUAAUAAUGCUGAGAAUAGCAAAUUUUCCUUUGUGGCGUACUCAUAGAUGUAAAAAGCAUCAUGUAAUCAAAACUCAAAAUAACUGACAAUUUUUAUCCUAAAUUAUAUGCAUUGUCUUUUGCGGAAGUGGAGCUCUGUAGCAUCAUGGUUCACAUGAUUCUGUAGGCUAGAUUUGAAUUGGAAGUUAAAAUUGAUCAUGCUUUCCUCAAGUUGGAUAAUACCAUCUGGAGAGAUGGUAAAUAGUAGUAGUUAGUCAUAUUGGAAUUUGAGU